rnacentral:misc_RNA from 1 species
AACGCACAUUGCGCCCCCUGGUAUUCCGGGGGGCAUGCCUGUCCGAGCGUCAUUGCUGCCCAUCAAGCACGGCUUGUGUGUUGGGUCGUCGUCCCCUCUCCGGGGGGACGGGCCCCAAAGGCAGCGGCGGCACCGCGUCCGAUCCUCGAGCGUAUGGGGCUUUGUCACCCGCUCUGUAGGCCCGGCCGGCGCUUGCCGAACGCAAAUCAAUCUUUUUCCAGGUUGACCUCGGAUCAGGUAGGGAUACCCGCUGAACUUAA